CCUACGUGAGGCAGCAGUGGGGGAUAUUGCACAAUGGGGGAAACCCUGAUGCAGCGAUGCCGCGUGAAUGAAGACGGCCCUCGGGUUGUAAAGUUCUGUCGCAGGGGACGUAAAUGACGGUACCCUGCAAGAAAGCUCCGUCUAACUACGUGCCAGCAGCCGCGGUAACACGUAGGGAGCCGGCGUUGUCCGGAAUUACUGGGUGUAAAGGGAGCGUAGGCGGGAGGAUAAGUUGAAUGUGAAAUCUAGGGGCUCAACCCAUAGCUGCGUUCAAAACUGGUCUUCUUGAGUGAAGUGGAGGCAGGCGGAAUGCGUGGUGUAGCGGUGAAAUGCGUAGAUAUUAGGAGGAACACCGAUGGCGAAGGCGGCCUGCUGUGCUGUUACUGACGCUGAGGCUCGAAAGCGUGGGUAGCAAACAGGAUUAGAUACCCUUGUAGUC
rnacentral:rRNA from 1 species